AGGUGAACCUGCUGANGGAUCAUUACUGGANAUAUACAAUACAAUAUAUAUUUUUUUCCCAUUACGUAUAUACCUUCGGGUCUAAGCGUAUAAGAAAAUUAUAUAUAUUACACUUUAUAUGACACACACCCGUGUAUGUGUAUGUAAUAUAUGUAUUUUCGAUCGCCCGACAUUCAGUUACGUGCGCGAAAGUAUAAUAUUUACACUAUCACACACACACACACAUUUUCAUAAAACAAGCCACAGCCUGUGAGACAUAAAAUACAUUUGUGCUUAACGAUCGCCCGACAUUCAGUUACGUGCGCGAAGGUACAUUUUUUUAUGAUUUUUGCGGGUGACACCCUUUUCAACUGGAUCACCUAACUCAAUUCUGCUCUACGGAGUCUAAACCAGACAUAAGAAUUAUUACUGUGUAUAUAUUUUUAAUCACUGUGAACAAUGUAUAUGCUUACGUUACCUUCACGGGUAACUGCCCACAUACACAUACGCACAUUUUUUAUAAUAUAUACGUAUAAUAAAUUUUCGUUAUGUAGACAUGCAUCAUGCAUAUUACGAUACACCUGCAUGAGCGAUGGAUCUCUUGGUUCCUUGCAUCGUUGAAAGGUCGCAGCGAAUUGCGAAAUGUUGGUCGUGUGAAUUGCAAGACACAUUGGCCCUUUUUCGGGCUGCGGAACACCUUACUCACUGAACGUAUAUAUCGCUUAGCAGAUUAAUCUAUGUGUUCGCACAUAGACUGCAGCGCGCUCGGUUGAGAGUGCUUUGCGUUUAUAUAAUCAUUCUUCCAAUGAUAUAUAACAAACACAUAUUUUUUUCAUCUCGUGACCUCACUGCGAGUGGAAAUUUUCUAUAUUUUCUCCUAUGAACAGCGUUACGCUUAAAUACACACACCGUGUAUAACAAGACAGUAGCAAACACCGGGUCAAUAUUUCUUAAUUGCUAAUAUUCCCUAUACGUAUCGUAUGGCAUAUAAAGCGGUAACCAUAUCGGAAUUCUACUAGAUUAUAAGAUGUGAUAGUGUAUUCCCUGCCAACGAACUCGUAUAUAGCGUAUAAUAUAUAUUUACUUACUUCGACAUAACACAACAGACACACAUACACACACACACACAAAAUUGUCGAUAGAAAUUUUUUUAUACGUGCGUAUAUUCAUACACCGUCAUAGUUGAUCACAACGCGUACGGAAUAUACAUACGCACAUAUAUAUAUUUUUUUUUAUCCGACACCCGUGUGUCUGAAUGUCAAGGUGACAAUACUAAUAUAC
rnacentral:misc_RNA from 1 species